rnacentral:misc_RNA from 1 species
ACAUUCCCAAUAAGCUCACGAACCAUGGCGCUUGCUUGAUUGAUUUGAUCAAAUGUACCCUCUAACUCAAUAUUCCUUAAGUUGGGGUCAGUCUCAUGCUCCCUUAUUGAAAGUUUGGCCCCUGUAAGACGACAGAUUUGCUUCGAGUUUACACCAUUUUUCCCAAUGAUGGCUCCAGCAAGUGAAGCAUCGAUACUGAUCUUAGCAGUGGCAGAGGCCCCAAAGCUGGAAGCAGCACCAAAACCUUGGUGAGGAGGCUCCAUUUGACGGCCCAUCCUACCUGAAAUUGGACCAAUUGAACGAGGAUCUUCAAAGGAUGGACCAGGAGGUUUCCCAAGCUCCCACUCACCAUGCGCAAAGUGGCAUUUAUCCCCAAACUUACAACCUUCAGCCGUAUUGUAUUUAUUGCACAAACGGGUCUUCA